rnacentral:rRNA from 1 species
UACGGAAGGCAGCAGUGGGGAAUAUUGCACAAUGGGCGCAAGCCUGAUGCAGCCAUGCCGCGUGUAUGAAAAGGCCUUCGGGUUGUAAAGUACUUUCUAGUCGUGAGGAAGGUGUUAAGGUUAAUAACCUUAGCAAUUGACGUUAGCGACAGAAGAAGCACCGGCUAACUCCGUGCCAGCAGCCGCGGUAAUACGGAGGGUGCGAGCGUUAAUCGGAAUUACUGGGCGUAAAGGGCACGCAGGCGGUUAAUUAAGUUGGAUGUGAAAUCCCCGGGCUUAACCUGGGAAUGGCAUUCAAGACUGGUUAGCUAGAGUCUUGUAGAGGGGGUAGAAUUCCAUGUGUAGCGGUGAAAUGCGUAGAGAUGUGGAGGAAUACCGGUGGCGAAGGCGGCCCCUGGACAAAGACUGACGCUCAUGUGCGAAAGCGUGGGGAGCAAACAGGGAUUAGAUACC